UCCGUAGGUGAACCUGCGGAGGGAUCAUUACCGAGUUUACAACUCCCAAACCCAUGUGAACAUACCUACUGUUGCUUCGGCGGGAUUGCCCCGGGCGCCUCGUGUGCCCCGGAUCAGGCGCCCGCCUAGGAAACUUAACUCUUGUUUUAUUUUGGAAUCUUCUGAGUAGUUUUUACAAAUAAAUAAAAACUUUCAACAACGGAUCUCUUGGUUCUGGCAUCGAUGAAGAACGCAGCGAAAUGCGAUAAGUAAUGUGAAUUGCAGAAUUCAGUGAAUCAUCGAAUCUUUGAACGCACAUUGCGCCCGCCAGUAUUCUGGCGGGCAUGCCUGUCUGAGCGUCAUUUCAACCCUCACGCCCCUAGGGCGUGGUGUUGGGGAUCGGCCAAAGCCCGCGAGGGACGGCCGGCCCCUAAAUCUAGUGGCGGACCCGUCGUGGCCUCCUCUGCGAAGUAGUGAUAUUCCGCAUCGGAGAGCGAUGAGCCCCUGCCGUUAAACCCCCAACUUUCUAAGGUUGACCUCAGAUCAGGUAGGAAUACCCGCUGAACUUAAGCAUAUCAAUAAGCGGAGGA
rnacentral:rRNA from 1 species